GCCAGGUGCGGUGGCUCACACCUGUAAUCCCAGCACUUUGAGAGGCUGAGGUGGGCGGAUCACUUGAGGUCAAGAGUUUGAGACCAGCCUGGCCAACAUGGUGAAACCUGUCUCUACUAAAAAUACAAAAAUUACCCAGGCAUGGUGGCAUGCGCCUGUAAUCCCAGCUACUCAGAAGGCUGGGAUUUUUAGUAGAGACGGGAUUUCACCUUGUUGGCCAGGCUGGUCUCGAACUCCUGACCUCAAGUGAGCCACCCACUUCAG
rnacentral:sRNA from 1 species